AAGCUGAAGAUGAGUUACUCAAAUUCCUCCCAAGAGAAUCAUAAAUAAAGCGAAAUCAAGUUUCUGAUGCU
rfam:Daucus carota subsp. sativus cultivar DH1 chromosome 3, whole genome shotgun sequence.